UUUGCACUAGUGCUCCAGG
rnacentral:misc_RNA from 1 species